rnacentral:rRNA from 1 species
CCUACGGGAGGCAGCAGUAGGGAAUUUUGCGCAAUGGACGAAAGUCUGACGCAGCAACACCGUGUGAGGGAUGAAGCAUUUCGGUGUGUAAACCUCUGUCGAUGAUGAAUAAAGCAUGUGGGAGUGGAAAGCCCAUGUGUUGAAGGUAAUCAUGAAGGAAGCACCGGCUAACUCUGUGCCAGCAGCCGCGGUAAUACAGGGGGUGCAAGCGUUGUUCGGAAUCACUGGGCGUAAAGGGAGCGUAGGCGGAACUACAAGACAGGGGUCAAAUCUCCGGGCUCAACCUGGAACUUGCCUUUGUGACUGUGGUUCUUGAGUAUGGUAGAGGUCAGCGGAAUUUCCGGUGUAGCGGUGGAAUGCGUAGAGAUCGGAAAGAACACCAGAGGCGAAGGCGGCUGACUGGACCAAUACUGACGCUGAGGCUCGAAAGCGUGGGGAGCAAACAGGAUUAGAUACCCUGGUAGUCCACGCUGUAAACGAUGAACACUAGAUGUCGGGAGAGGUUUCUUCCGGUGUCGUCGCUAACGCAGUAAGUGUUCCGCCUGGGGAGUACGCUCGCAAGGGUGAAACUCAAAUGAAUUGACGG